GUGCUUGCUUCAGCAGCACAUAUACUAAAACUGGAAUCAUACAGAUUAGAUUAACAUGGCCCCUGCAUAAGGAUGACAAACAAAUUCAUGAACUGUUCCAUAUUUUU
ensembl:snRNA U6 U6 spliceosomal RNA